GACGAACGCUGGCGGCGUGCCUAAUACAUGCAAGUCGAACGCAGUGGGGACGGGUGAUUAACACCUGGGUAACCUCCCAUCAGAGGGGAUAACACUUGGCAACAGGUGCUAAACCGCUACUGAUGGAUGGACCCGCGGUGCAUUAGCUAGUUGGUGAGGUAACGGCUAACCAAGGCCACGAUGCAUAGCGGACCUGAGAGGGGGAGCGGCAACACUGGGACUGAGACACGGACCAGACUCCUACGGGAGGCAGCAGUAGGGAAUCUUCGGCAAUGGACGAAAGUCUGACCGAGCAACGCCGCGUGAGUGAAGAAGGUUUUCGGAUCGUAAAACUCUGUUGUUAGAGAAGCGGUAUCUAACCAGAAAGCCACGGCUAACUACGUGCCAGCAGCCGCGGUAAUAC
rnacentral:rRNA from 1 species